UUAUAGGGACAGGUUAUGGUUUCAAAUGCGACAGAAACAUUUGUUUUCACAAGUGCUUGCUUUUGUUAAAUUUCAAUUUUCUGAUCAUUAAUCACCUAAGUUAAUAUUGUAGGUGAAAUAAGUGCUAGAGUGUUAAUAACGUUCAAUCAGCCGGUGGUCUAUGAAUGCUUUUAUUCAUCAUCCCAUGGUGAUUCUCCUAACAGAUCUGGAGGCUUUUAGCUAUAUGAUGACAUGUGAAAUUAAAAUAUUUAUUGGUGCAUCUAGUGCACUUUUUGUACUAUUGGGAGCCAUGGUUUCUAAGCUUUUCACUAAUUGGACAAUCUAUGCAAAUAAGGUAACAUUUCUUUUUGCUCUUUAUGUCUUUGGCUAGUAACAGUGACAGUCUGAGACUCAAAGCUAAGGUUUAUUAGAUUAACCUAAACUUAUAUACUCUUAAUUUGUGAGAAUAGGUCUUGACUCCUAUAUAUGUAGUGUGCAGCACUUGUAACUUUCAUGCUCAUUAUAGCCAUAAAUUUGCCCCUCGGAUUUCUACCUCAUGUGGACAAUUCAGCUCAUAUUGAAGGAUUCCAGUCAGGAUUUCCCCUUGGCUUGGAUAUGUAAGCCACAACUAAAUUCCUCCAAGAUAUGAAAUAAAGCAGAAAUCCAGGCACAAGUGUUGUCGAUACCUUUUAUAGCACUACUACUUUAGUCCUCUUAAUUCUUGGGUAAUUAACUUGAACUUUCUCUGCAUUCUCAACUUCUAGUUUAAGUAUCUACCAUGGAAAUGUGAUCCAGCCUUGACUAAACUUAUUCUUUUCUUUUGUUUUAUCUACCCCGAAGAAAUUGGCAGAUAUGCAUUUGGAUGUAUUGAGCUAUUUAAUGCUUAGAAGCCGUAUGGUCAUAUAGUCUGCCUUUCUAGAGCAUCAAUCAGCUGAAUGAUUAUGUCAGUCUAUUUGCCUAUUCUUCAAGCUUUGCAAGUAUAACAAAACUACUCUUGUAUGGAUGCUUACUGUGACAAAGGAUCUUGGCAGUUUACGCCUCCCAUUGUCGGCUUUCGAAGCUGGCUAGCUUGUAGAUUUUGUAGCCAUUUCUUUUAUGCUAAUGGCCCAUGUCCCUGAACAUUAGUAUUGCACAACUGCAUUGUACAAACACUUAGGACUGAAGUAGUAAAGCAGUGCAUCAAAAUAUAUAAAGGAAAAUCCAAUUAAGAAUUGUACAUUUUAUUUAAAUAUUUUAUUCCAAUUUCAAAGUAUUUUUCACAUGCAUCAUUUUCAUUCCUAAGAUCCAUUGUAUUUCUACAAAAUUUAAUGCAACACAAGGAGUGACAUUGAUCUACAGCUGUACAUGGGCUCACCUUGAACACAUGUUAACCUCUUUCAAAUUGCUACAGUCUAUAGUUGCUUCAUUUAGGCAAACCCUGAACAUGUGUUAAUGGUCUCUUUUUAGAUUUCUACAGCCUAUUGCUUCCAUGCUUUAGACACCUUAGGAUCCUGAAGAUUUUCAAUCAGAUUACUGAAUAGGGAAUAAUACACAUUUUGCAGCCCAUUCAGAAUCUACUCAACACAGGCUUAACUAAUGCAGAAAUUGUCUAAUAAAAAGUAAGAGUUGACAUCAGAAUAGAACCACUAGUAGAGAAAUGUAAUUACAAGUGAAGUGAAGUGAUUAGUAAAGAAAGUUAAUUACAAGUGAAACCAAUAGUAUAGAAAAGGUCAUGCAUCUUUUGCUACUUUAUGAAACGAAGUCUAACAAGAUACAUUGCUAAAAUUAACAUAGAACUGUCUGUUUCACAUGGAACAAGAACUUGCUAGUACUCAAAUUCUAUAAUACUUAACACCUUACUAGUUUAUAAAAUCUUUAAAACUACAUGGGGAUGACAUAUUGGUGUUUUUGACUAGAGAGGAUGUUGAACUUGUAGAGAAGGUUUUGGUGUAUGGGAGUGGGAUUUGUCUGGAUUGGUGAUUUGCCCGUUACAAGUAAGCCUGUUACAAGUCAGCCUACUAUUGAGCAGCAAGCAGACUGUUUGAACCAAGUCCAAAAAGGCUAAGAAAAGAAGUGUUGGCCAAGGAUGAAGUAGAAAAUCAGAAAGCCCAUUGGCUAUUAAUGAAAACCUUAAAUGACCAUCAUUGGUCAAUCUAGGGUGCUACGUGGGGCACAACCAUAUGGCAGCUAAGAACCUAGUCAAUUAGUAUUCUCAUUAAUGGAUUUAUAGCAUUGUAUGCUAAUUUUAACGAGG